GAUGAACGCUGGCGGCGUGCCCAAUACAUGCAAGUCGAGCGAACAGACGAGGAGCUUGCUCCUCUGACGUUAGCGGCGGACGGGUGAGUAACACGUGGAUAACCUACCUAUAAGACUGGGAUAACUUCGGGAAACCGGAGCUAAUACCGGAUAAUAUAUUGAACCGCAUGGUUCAAUAGUGAAAGACGGCUUUGCUGUCACUUAUAGAUGGAUCCGCGCCGCAUUAGCUAGUUGGUAAGGUAACGGCUUACCAAGGCAACGAUGCGUAGCCGACCUGAGAGGGUGAUCGGCCACACUGGAACUGAGACACGGUCCAGACUCCUACGGGAGGCAGCAGUAGGGAAUCUUCCGCAAUGGGCGAAAGCCUGACGGAGCAACGCCGCGUGAGUGAUGAAGGUCUUCGGAUCGUAAAACUCUGUUAUUAGGGAAGAACAAAUGUGUAAGUAACUAUGCACGUCUUGACGGUACCUAAUCAGAAAGCCACGGCUAACUACGUG
rnacentral:rRNA from 1 species